UACGUAGGGUGCGAGCGUUAAUCGGAAUUACUGGGCGUAAAGCGUGCGCAGGCGGUUUUGUAAGCCAGAUGUGAAAGCCCCGGGCUUAACCUGGGAAUGGCAUUUGGGACUGCAAGGCUUGAGUGCGGCAGAGGAGACUGGAAUUCCUGGUGUAGCAGUGAAAUGCGUAGAUAUCGUAAGGAAGACCAGUGGCGAAGGCGAGUCUCUGGACAGUUACCGACGCUGAGGCACGAAGGUCAGGGGAGCAAACGGG
rnacentral:rRNA from 1 species